CACUUUCUCCCACAAGUACCACAGCUGCCACCACCACAAUGGCCACAGCUGCUUCGACUACAACCACAGCUUCUGCGAUGACAACCACAGCGAAACCAACUUCAACCACAGCUGCUCUCACAACCACCACAGCUGCUCCUACAACAACCACAGUCGCACAAACGACAACUAAAAUUACUCCCACAACCAACACAGCCGCUGCAACUACAACAAUAGAUUCAACAGCUGCACCAACAGCGGAUGAGGGGUCACUGGGAUUAGGAUUCAGAAUGAUCCGUACAUUCCUAAGUGACUAUUCUGACUCUUCUACAACAGCAUAUCAGGAACUGGCAGCAAAUGUUACCACAGAGGUUAAUCGUGGUUACAAAAUAAUUUACCCUUUAACGUACCUAAGGUGUAGGAUUAUGAAAUUCGCGAGUGGCUCCAUUAUUGUCAACAUGACCCUUAUUUUCAAGAACCAGACAGUGGUUCCCAAUGCAACGAGUGCAGAGCAGGGAUUGACUGACUCUCUGUCUCAUGGGAACACCUUCCUCAACAUUGAUCCAACCUCCAUUACUGCAAGGACAACAACUACAACUGCCACAACUACCACAGCCGCCACAACAACCACAGCCGCCCCAACAACAACAGCUGGUCCUACAACAAACACAGCUUCUUCAACAACAUCUGUUGUUGCAUCAACAACAACCACAGCUUCUGCCUCCAGUGGAAUAAGCUACAAGACAAGUCUAUUCACAAUCUAUCUGGUUGUAUUGUCACAACUGCUUCACUAAUACUGAUAGACUGAUCACCACAGUGACAGGGCAACUUACCAGACAAUCUAAUCAUAUUUAUUAUUAUCAUAUAAUUGUAUCGUAUUCGUUGUUAUUUAUUAUCCAAAAAUGUACAGGGAAACAUUAAUUGCUAUAGACAACAUGAGAGCAUUGAACAGCUUGAGGACAAUGUAAAAAACAACAGCUGUACUGCAAUUAUCAACACAAGUCUGUGAAUCUGGGUAAAUAUCCUUGUACUUACUGCACUACCUUGAUUUUUAACUUUGUUUUAUGUAAUAUUUAUUGUAACUGAAUGGUGUAUUUAUAUUGUUUUGUAAUUCAGUAUUACCCAUACUUUGAAUGAAUGAAGAAAAUGCUGGUUUCAUUUUCUGUAACGGAUUAAUUAAGAAAUUAAAUGAAAUGCAAUCCAUGAUCUGAAAAGACAUUCACAUCCC